rnacentral:sRNA from 1 species
UCUUUAUUGAGUAUAUGGGGGCAAGGGCGCAAGAUUCAACGGGAUAGCUAACAGAAAAUAAAAAAGGAGGCAUAAGCCUCCUUUUUUUUGCACGU